CUCCAGUUACCCGGGGAACAGAAGGUUCGUGACUCUCGGAGUACGGGAGAGAAAGCGUCAGAAUCCAGGUUAAUUAUGCUUCGGCUCGUGACAACAAAACUCUUUUUGACAUCGUGAGUCUGAAGGAGCCACUCCUAAGGGUGUCUUAAACGUCAUGAAGGUUGAAGGCUUGACAAUCUAUCAUGUAAAAAGCCAUUUACAGGUAUAUCAAUAGUUCCAUACUUGACUAGUUUUCUUUUGGCUCUAACAAGAUAGUGGUAGUAUAUAUUUUUGCUGGGCUUUUUUUUCUUUUGCAUGUAGCAAUUUUCAGAAAUAUAGAACAGCCACAUACAAACCAGAGUCAUGAUGAGAAGUCAUGAACUGCUUUUGGAACUUGACUGUUAUUUAAAGUCUCAGCAACUAAGUGGCGUUGCAUAUGUCAAUAUUUGA
rnacentral:lncRNA from 1 species